CACGUAGUUAGCCGCAGCUUCUUCUUCAGGUACCGUCAUUAUCGUUCCUGCCGAAAGAGCUUUACACCCCGAGGGGCUUCAUCGCUCACGCGGCGUCGCUGCAUCAGAGUUUCCUCCAUUGUGCAAGAUUCCCCACUGCUGCCUCCCGUAGGAGUCUGGCCCGUGUUUCAGUGCCAGUGUGGCCGUGUGCCCUCUCAGGCCGGCUACCGAUCGUCGCCUUGGUGAGCCAUUACCUCACCAACUAGCUAAUCGGCCGCGGACUCUUCUUCCAGCGCAUUGCUGCUUUCCCUUUACAGGCUUAUGCGGUAUUAGCUUCGGUUUCCCAAAGUUAUUCCCCACUAAAAGGUAGAUAAUCCACGUGUUACUCACCCGUACGCCGCUUUACUCAGAGGUUGCCCCCUUUUUCUCGCUCGACUUGCAUGUGUUAAGCGCGCCGCCAGCGUUGAUUCUGAGCCAGGAUCAAACUCU
rnacentral:rRNA from 1 species